rnacentral:rRNA from 1 species
UACGAAGGGGGCUAGCGUUGUUCGGAUUUACCGGGCGUAAAGCGCACGUAGGCGGAUCGCUCAGUCAGGGGUGAAAUCCCAGGGCUCAACCCUGGAACUGCCUUUGAUACUGUCGAUCUGGAGUAUGGAAGAGGUGAGUGGAACUCCGAGUGUAGAGGUGAAAUUCGUAGAUAUUCGGAGGAACACCAGUGGCGAAGGCGGCUCACUGGUCCAUUACUGACGCUGAGGUGCGAAAGCGUGGGGAGCAAACAGG